GAGUUUAAUCCUGGCUCAGAUUGAACGCUGGCGGCAUGCCUUACACAUGCAAGUCGAACGGCAGCGCGGACUUCGGUCUGGCGGCGAGUGGCGAACGGGUGAGUAAUGCAUCGGAACGUACCUUUCAGUGGGGGAUAACGUAGCGAAAGUUACGCUAAUACCGCAUAUUCUGUGAGCAGGAAAGCAGGGGAUCGCAAGACCUUGCGCUGAUUGAGCGGCCGAUGUCAGAUUAGCUAGUUGGUGAGGUAAAGGCUCACCAAGACGACGAUCUGUAGCGGGUCUGAGAGGAUGAUCCGCCACACUGGGACUGAGACACGGCCCAGACUCCUACGGGAGGCAGCAGUGGGGAAUUUUGGACAAUGGGGGCAACCCUGAUCCAGCCAUGCCGCGUGAGUGAAGAAGGCC
rnacentral:rRNA from 1 species